UAGCCGUAAACGAUACUCGCUAGGUGUCGGCCACGGUGCGACCGUUGUCGGUGCCGUAGGGAAGCCGUGAAGCGAGCCACCUGGGAAGUACGGCCGCGAGGCUGAAACUUAAAGGAAUUGGCGGGGGAGCACAACAACGGGUGGAGCUUGCGGUUUAAUUGGAUUCAACGCCGGAAAUCUUACCGGGACCGACAGCAACAUGAAGGCCAAGCUGAAGACUUUGCCGGAUUAGCUGAGAGGAGGUGCAUGGCGUAGUCGUGU
rnacentral:rRNA from 1 species